rfam:Picea glauca, whole genome shotgun sequence.
AUAUGCCUACAACAUAGUGUUAAUGCAUUGUAUCCCAUUAUAAAUCCGCAGUUAAGUGCACUCAGGCUAGAGUAGUAUUGGGAUGGGUGACUUCUCGGGAAGUUCUAGUGUUUUACAUGCC